rnacentral:miRNA from 1 species
UGGUACGGGUUGAAGUAGCACC